rnacentral:rRNA from 1 species
ACGGGAGGCAGCAGUGGGGAAUAUUGCACAAUGGGCGCAAGCCUGAUGCAGCGAUGCCGCGUGAGGGAAGAAGGUUUUCGGAUUGUAAACCUCUGUCAACAGGGACGAAAAUGACGGUACCUGUGAAGGAAGCUCCGGCUAACUACGUGCCAGCAGCCGCGGUAAUACGUAGGGAGCAAGCGUUAUCCGGAAUUACUGGGUGUAAAGGGUGCGUAGGCGGCAUGGCAAGUCAGAUGUGAAAGACCGGGGCUCAACUCCGGGGCUGCAUUUGAAACUGCCAGGCUGGAGUACAGGAGAGGCAGGCGGAAUUCCUAGUGUAGCGGUGAAAUGCGUAGAUAUUAGGAGGAACACCAGUGGCGAAGGCGGCCUGCUGGACUGUUACUGACGCUGAGGCACGAAAGCGUGGGGAGCAAACAGGAUUAGAUACCCUGGUA